ACUCCUACGGGAGGCAGCAGUGAGGAAUCUUCCACAAUGGACGAAAGUCUGAUGGAGCGACACCGCGUGAAGGAUGAAGGCCUAACGGUUGUAAACUUCUUUUCUGAAGGAGCAUAAUGAGAGUACUUCAGGAAUAAGGGACGGCUAAAUACGUGCCAGCAGCCGCGGUAAUACGUAUGUCUCGAGCGUUACCCGGAAUCACUGGGUGUAAAGGGUUCGUAGGCGGUUUAAUAAGUUGGAUAUGAAAGACCGGAGCUCAACUUCGUGUUUGUGUUCAAAACUGUUAAACUAGAAUCAGGGAGAGGUAAGUAGAAUUCUAAGUGUAGGGGUGCAAUCCGUAGAUACUUAGAGGAAUACCAAAAGCGAAGGCAACUUACUGGAACUGUAUUGACGCUGAGGAACGAAAGCGUGGGUAGCGAAAAGGAUUAGAUACCCUGGUAACACAG
rnacentral:rRNA from 1 species